UACGAAGGGGGCUAGCGUUGCUCGGAAUUACUGGGCGUAAAGGGCGCGUAGGCGGAUGUUUAAGUCAGAGGUGAAAGCCCAGGGCUCAACCUUGGAACUGCCUUUGAUACUGGACAUCUUGAGUGUGGGAGAGGUGAGUGGAACUCCGAGUGUAGAGGUGAAAUUCGUAGAUAUUCGGAAGAACACCGGUGGCGAAGGCGACUCACUGGCCCAUUACUGACGCUGAGGCUCGAAAGCGUGGGGAGCAAACAGG
rnacentral:rRNA from 1 species